GGUUAAGCGACUAAGCGUACACGGUGGAUGCCCUGGCAGUCAGAGGCGAUGAAGGACGUGCUAAUCUGCGAUAAGCGUCGGUAAGGUGAUAUGAACCGUUAUAACCGGCGAUUUCCGAAUGGGGAAACCCAGUGUGUUUCGACACACUAUCAUUAACUGAAUCCAUAGGUUAAUGAGGCGAACCGGGGGAACUGAAACAUCUAAGUACCCCGAGGAAAAGAAAUCAACCGAGAUUCCCCCAGUAGCGGCGAGCGAACGGGGAGCAGCCCAGAGCCUGAAUCAGUGUGUGUGUUAGUGGAAGCGUCUGGAAAGGCGCGCGAUACAGGGUGACAGCCCCGUACACAAAAAUGCACAUGCUGUGAGCUCGAUGAGUAGGGCGGGACACGUGGUAUCCUGUCUGAAUAUGGGGGACCAUCCUCCAAGGCUAAAUACUCCUGACUGACCGAUAGUGAACCAGUACCGUGAGGGAAAGGCGAAAAGAACCCCGGCGAGGGGAGUGAAAAAGAACCUGAAACCGUGUACGUACAAGCAGUGGGAGCACGCUUAGGCGUGUGACUGCGUACCUUUUGUAUAAUGGGUCAGCGACUUAUAUUCUGUAGCAAGGUUAACCGAAUAGGGGAGCCGAAGGGAAACCGAGUCUUAACUGGGCGUUAAGUUGCAGGGUAUAGACCCGAAACCCGGUGAUCUAGCCAUGGGCAGGUUGAAGGUUGGGUAACACUAACUGGAGGACCGAACCGACUAAUGUUGAAAAAUUAGCGGAUGACUUGUGGCUGGGGGUGAAAGGCCAAUCAAACCGGGAGAUAGCUGGUUCUCCCCGAAAGCUAUUUAGGUAGCGCCUCGUGAAUUCAUCUCCGGGGGUAGAGCACUGUUUCGGCAAGGGGGUCAUCCCGACUUACCAACCCGAUGCAAACUGCGAAUACCGGAGAAUGUUAUCACGGGAGACACACGGCGGGUGCUAACGUCCGUCGUGAAGAGGGAAACAACCCAGACCGCCAGCUAAGGUCCCAAAGUCAUGGUUAAGUGGGAAACGAUGUGGGAAGGCCCAGACAGCCAGGAUGUUGGCUUAGAAGCAGCCAUCAUUUAAAGAAAGCGUAAUAGCUCACUGGUCGAGUCGGCCUGCGCGGAAGAUGUAACGGGGCUAAACCAUGCACCGAAGCUGCGGCAGCGACGCUGAUGCGUUGUUGGGUAGGGGAGCGUUCUGUAAGCCUGUGAAGGUGUGCUGUGAGGCAUGCUGGAGGUAUCAGAAGUGCGAAUGCUGACAUAAGUAACGAUAAAGCGGGUGAAAAGCCCGCUCGCCGGAAGACCAAGGGUUCCUGUCCAACGUUAAUCGGGGCAGGGUGAGUCGACCCCUAAGGCGAGGCCGAAAGGCGUAGUCGAUGGGAAACAGGUUAAUAUUCCUGUACUUGGUGUUACUGCGAAGGGGGGACGGAGAAGGCUAUGUUGGCCGGGCGACGGUUGUCCCGGUUUAAGCGUGUAGGCUGGUUUUCCAGGCAAAUCCGGAAAAUCAAGGCUGAGGCGUGAUGACGAGGCACUACGGUGCUGAAGCAACAAAUGCCCUGCUUCCAGGAAAAGCCUCUAAGCAUCAGGUAACAUCAAAUCGUACCCCAAACCGACACAGGUGGUCAGGUAGAGAAUACCAAGGCGCUUGAGAGAACUCGGGUGAAGGAACUAGGCAAAAUGGUGCCGUAACUUCGGGAGAAGGCACGCUGAUAUGUAGGUGAAGUCCCUUGCGGAUGGAGCUGAAAUCAGUCGAAGAUACCAGCUGGCUGCAACUGUUUAUUAAAAACACAGCACUGUGCAAACACGAAAGUGGACGUAUACGGUGUGACGCCUGCCCGGUGCCGGAAGGUUAAUUGAUGGGGUCAGCGCAAGCGAAGCUCUUGAUCGAAGCCCCGGUAAACGGCGGCCGUAACUAUAACGGUCCUAAGGUAGCGAAAUUCCUUGUCGGGUAAGUUCCGACCUGCACGAAUGGCGUAAUGAUGGCCAGGCUGUCUCCACCCGAGACUCAGUGAAAUUGAACUCGCUGUGAAGAUGCAGUGUACCCGCGGCAAGACGGAAAGACCCCGUGAACCUUUACUAUAGCUUGACACUGAACAUUGAGCCUUGAUGUGUAGGAUAGGUGGGAGGCUUUGAAGUGUGGACGCCAGUCUGCAUGGAGCCGACCUUGAAAUACCACCCUUUAAUGUUUGAUGUUCUAACGUUGACCCGUAAUCCGGGUUGCGGACAGUGUCUGGUGGGUAGUUUGACUGGGGCGGUCUCCUCCUAAAGAGUAACGGAGGAGCACGAAGGUUGGCUAAUCCUGGUCGGACAUCAGGAGGUUAGUGCAAUGGCAUAAGCCAGCUUGACUGCGAGCGUGACGGCGCGAGCAGGUGCGAAAGCAGGUCAUAGUGAUCCGGUGGUUCUGAAUGGAAGGGCCAUCGCUCAACGGAUAAAAGGUACUCCGGGGAUAACAGGCUGAUACCGCCCAAGAGUUCAUAUCGACGGCGGUGUUUGGCACCUCGAUGUCGGCUCAUCACAUCCUGGGGCUGAAGUAGGUCCCAAGGGUAUGGCUGUUCGCCAUUUAAAGUGGUACGCGAGCUGGGUUUAGAACGUCGUGAGACAGUUCGGUCCCUAUCUCGCCGUGGGCGCUGGAGAACUGAGGGGGCUGCUCCUAGUACGAGAGGACCGGAGUGGACGCAUCACUGGUGUUCGGGUUGUCAUGCCAAUGGCACUGCCCGGUAGCUAAAUGCGGAAGAGAUAAGUGCUGAAAGCAUCUAAGCACGAAACUUGCCCCGAGAUGAGUUCUCCCUGACUCCUUGAGAGUCCUGAAGGAACGUUGAAGACGACGACGUUGAUAGGCCGGGUGUGUAAGCGCAGCGAUGCGUUGAGCUAACCGGUACUAAUGAACCGUGAGGCUUAACCUU
rnacentral:rRNA from 1 species